rnacentral:rRNA from 1 species
GAUGAACGCUAGCGACAGGCUUAACACAUGCAAGUCGAGGGGCAGCGGGGGUAGCAAUACCCGCCGGCGACCGGCGCACGGGUGAGUAACGCGUAUGCAACUUACCUAUCAGAGGGGGAUAACCCGGCGAAAGUCGGACUAAUACCGCAUGAAGCAGGGGCCCCGCAUGGGGAUAUUUGCUAAAGAUUCAUCGCUGAUAGAUAGGCAUGCGUUCCAUUAGGCAGUUGGCGGGGUAACGGCCCACCAAACCGACGAUGGAUAGGGGUUCUGAGAGGAAGGUCCCCCACAUUGGUACUGAGACACGGACCAAACUCCUACGGGAGGCAGCAGUGAGGAAUAUUGGUCAAUGGCCGAGAGGCUGAACCAGCCAAGUCGCGUGAGGGAUGAAGGUUCUAUGGAUCGUAAACCUCUUUUAUAAGGGAAUAAAGUGCGGGACGUGUCCCGUUUUGUAUGUACCUUAUGAAUAAGGAUCGGCUAACUCCGUGCCAGCAGCCGCGGUAAUACGGAGGAUCCGAGCGUUAUCCGGAUUUAUUGGGUUUAAAGGGUGCGUAGGCGGCCUUUUAAGUCAGCGGUGAAAGUCUGUGGCUCAACCAUAGAAUUGCCGUUGAAACUGGGGGGCUUGAGUAUGUUUGAGGCAGGCGGAAUGCGUGGUGUAGCGGUGAAAUGCAUAGAUAUCACGCAGAACCCCGAUUGCGAAGGCAGCCUGCCAAGCCAUUACUGACGCUGAUGCACGAAAGCGUGGGGAUCAAACAGGAUUAGAUACCCUGGUAGUCCACGCAGUAAACGAUGAUCACUAGCUGUUUGCGAUACACUGUAAGCGGCACAGCGAAAGCGUUAAGUGAUCCACCUGGGGAGUACGCCGGCAACGGUGAAACUCAAAGGAAUUGACGGGGGCCCGCACAAGCGGAGGAACAUGUGGUUUAAUUCGAUGAUACGCGAGGAACCUUACCCGGGUUUGAACGCAUUCGGACCGAGGUGGAAACACCUUUUCUAGCAAUAGCCGUUUGCGAGGUGCUGCAUGGUUGUCGUCAGCUCGUGCCGUGAGGUGUCGGCUUAAGUGCCAUAACGAGCGCAACCCUUGCCACUAGUUACUAACAGGUGAUGCUGAGGACUCUGGUGGGACUGCCAGCGUAAGCUGCGAGGAAGGCGGGGAUGACGUCAAAUCAGCACGGCCCUUACAUCCGGGGCGACACACGUGUUACAAUGGCGUGGACAAAGGGAGGCCACCUGGCGACAGGGAGCGAAUCCCCAAACCACGUCUCAGUUCGGAUCGGAGUCUGCAACCCGACUCCGUGAAGCUGGAUUCGCUAGUAAUCGCGCAUCAGCCAUGGCGCGGUGAAUACGUUCCCGGGCCUUGUACACACCGCCCGUCAAGCCAUGGGGGCCGGGGGUACCUGAAGUCCGUAACCGAAAGGAUCGCCCUAGGGUA